CCUGGUUUCUGUGAGGCUGGUCAUCAUGAUCUCUGCUGUCAUCACCCUCUACAUCAGGGAUACAUUCUACAAACAACACGGAUUUAAGCGAGUGACAGAAGGGGGCAGAACGACAGAUUUGUACCUUGUUAUCUCGGGGAUUUGAACUUGCAACCUUUCGACUGCUAAUCCAACGCUCUAACCACUAGGCUACCCUGCCGCCCCAUACAGCAGCAGAUGAUGGUCCUUUUUAUGUAACAAUAAUGAUGUUUCUUUUUAUUUAACAAUGUACAGUACACAGAAACAGAAGGAUGUUGCCUGCACAUGUAAACCAGAUUGGGUCAUUUAAAAAGUUUUCAAAAAUAUUUACUUUUUCUUUUCAUUUGUUGCUAUAUAAAUAACAUACCUUAGAUAUUAUUUUUUUAUUUGUUAUAUUUUUUAGGAAGUAGUUCUGAAAGUAACGCUCACAAGCCAAAAGUGGGACCUGAAAAUUGCGUGCUACGCCACAAAUGUGCAGAUAUGUGUAACACUUCAUUGCUCUCUCUCGCUCUGCUGUGUGUGUGUGUGUGUGUGUGUGUGUGUGUGUGUGUUUGUGUCUUGCUAGCUGUCACUCAAAUGGCAAGGGGCUGAAGCUCAUCGGCUGAAAUGCGAAUUUCUACCGGGCUGGCGCACGUUGAGGUAAAUGUAGGGAAAAUGGUGCCGCACAGCUUCCAGACAACAGCUGCUUAUUGAGGUAAAACGUUAAUUCUGCGUAUAGAUUAUGCAUGUAUGAACUACACAUUGAAACAUACAGCCCAAAGGAAAAAAAACACUUACCAGUCGCCAAAGUACCGUAGCAUGUCUUUAGCCUAAUGUAAGAUAGCAUAGCAUUUCAAGGCAUAUUAUUAGGGCUUGACAUAAUAUAGCAUUACAUGACAUAGUAUAAUGCACAGCAUAACAUGAUAUAAGAAUAUCUGACUGUACAGUAUCACAUGUUUUUGGUUCAUUUGUUUCUGUUUAAUACCGACCAUGAUACAUUCUUUGUUUCUGUUUAAUACCCACUAUGAUAAAUUAUUUGUUUCUGUUUAAUACCCACUAUGAUAAAUUAUUUGUUUCUGUUUAAUACCCAUUAAGAUGAAUGAUGUGUUUCUGUUUAAUACCCACUAUGAUAAAUUAUUAAGGUAAUUUCUGAUGAGCCGACAUUUGCAGAGUUUACCGAUGCAGUCCCCACACAAGCAGACGAAAACCGUUACAGAAUCACCCACCAACCAAGGACCAAGCAGCGUGGUAUCAGGCAGCAGCGAUCUCCGGACUCAUGGACAUGGGAGGAGAUUUUGGACGGCCAAUCCCUCCCCCCUGUGUCAUCGAUAGCCAGCUAGCGUAUACGGGGAGACGCCUCCUGAGGGUUCGACCACUGUGCAGGGGUUUCCAGUAUCCGGUUGAGUGGGAGGGUUAUGGCCCGGGAAGAGGUGCUGGGUUCCAGCUAAAGACAUCUUGGACCCGUGCCCUCAUCGGCGAUUUUCACCGCCGACUCCCCAGUCGGCCGGGUAUGCACCCAGGUAGGACGCCAGGUGGCGUCCCUAGAGGGGGGGUACUGUCACACCCUGAUCUGUUUCACCUGUCCUUGUGAUUGUCUCCACCCCCUCCAGGUGUCGCUUAUUUUCCCUGUUGUAUUUAUCCAUUUAUUUCCUGUCUCUCUGUGCCAGUUCGUCUAAUAUGUUCAAGUCAACCAACGUGGUUUUCCCCGUGCGCCUGCUUUUCUAUUCUCUUUUACUAGUCCUCUCGGUUCUGAACUUGUGCCUGUUUUUCUGGACCCCACUUGCUUGACAAUUCUGCCUGCCCUGACCUCGAGCCUGCCUGCCAUUCUGUAUCUCUGCAACUCUGAACUGGUUUUGACCUUUUGCCUGUCCACGACCAUUAUUUUGCCUUACCCGUUUGGAUUGUUAAUAAAAAUCUUGGACUCUAA